rnacentral:rRNA from 1 species
AUGCCCGCCGCCGUAGCACGCGCACGCGCCUCCAUCCACAUGCCCACGCGGGUGAGGCGGGCCAAGGAGGCAUCCGCCCGCAGUCGUCGUCGCCGCCGCGGCAGCUCGCCGGCGGCGCUGUCCUCGCCGCUUGAGGACGACGAUCUCCUGUGGGAGAUCCUCCUCCGCCUCCCGCCGCAGCCCUCCUCCCUUCCACGCGCCUCCGCCGUCUGCAAGCGGUGGCGAUGCGCGGCCACCGACCCCAGGUUCCACCGCCGCUUCUUUCAACACCACCGGAAGCCGCCCCUCGGUUUCUUCGAGCAGAGAGUCGAUGGUGUCGUCUUCAAACCUGUCCUGGACCCUCCCGACCGCAUCCUUCAUCAGCGCUUCGACGUGCGAUUCCACGGCAUUGACAGUGGCCGUGGCACGGGGGUCAAACUGCUGGGGUGCCGCCACGGUCGCCUCCUCAUCAUACGCUCGCUGCAGCAAGAGAUUAUUGUCAUUGCCCCCAUCACGGGCAAGGAGCACCGAGUGCAAGUUCCGCCUGAGUUCAAGAGCGGCUGCUACGUCAAUGGGGCGGUGCUCUGCGCUGCCGCCGACCACAACCAUGUGCACGGGAGCUGCCACUCGAGCCCAUUCAAGGUGGUCUUGCUGUCCAUGGGCAGAUACCUUAUUGGUCCACCGAUUGCCUUAGCACGUGUGUACUACUCGGAGACUGGCAUAUGGGGCGACCUCAUCUCAACACCGACUCCAUGUCAGCUUCAUGAUACUGGUACACAUGGGUCAUUAGUUGGUAAUGCACUUUACUGGUCGUGCGACGAUUACAUUUUUCAGUUUGAUUUGGAAGGUCAGAGCCUUGCUUUGAUCAAAGCUCCUCGCACUAUAAAUGAUGCCCGCGACUGCUUUGACAUGCGUGAGGUUAUCGAGAUCAUGGAUGGCGCUGUUGGUCUUGCCAUAUUGUCUCACUAUUACUAUAACAUUCAAAUGUGGCAAAUGAAGGUUAAUUGUCAGGGUGUUGCCAAAUGGGUGCUCUGGAAGACCAUUGAUAUGCGUAACAUUCAUGGGAUCCCCCAUGGGUUUGAAGGAGAGAGGCCAGAGUUAUGUAGACUGAGAUAUGAUGAGGAUACUGAUGAUAUAUUUCUCCAUGUGGGCACCAGUGUCUAUGUGGUUCAACUUAAGUCAAUGCAAUCUAAGAAACUUUGUGAAGCCCAUUAUGUUAAUCGCUAUUAUUCUUUCAAGAGUUUCUAUAUGCCAGGUGAUUGUUCUUCAUUAGCCCUUGCAUUGUAG